CUGUACCACUGUAGCACUCACCACUGAAGUCCUCUGAACAUACUUGCACUAGCAUAGAAGCCUAUGAGAUCCGUUGGAAGGAGAGGCACCAUAGCAUGCCAACUGUGAAUACCAUUUUAAAGGCUCCUGCUUUCAAGCAUAUUCACUGCCGCAGCAUAUAUACUGGCAACAUGACUCUGACUGCUACUGCUAUGCAUCUGCUUCACUGCCGGAGUGCUCCCAAAGACAGCACCCAGCUGUGAAGAUACGGCUUGAACUCAAUGCGAAGAAAGAUCUGCCAUUUGUGAACGGUGAAAAUCAUGAUGAUGCUUCUCUUUCAACAAGGAGGAAACUGUUGCAGAGGACCAAAUGAAUAAUGAUAGGCCAUCCCUGAUUAUAAACAGUGGCACAGCUCAAGUUCCGGCAAAGGAAGUGAAUUCUGUGCCUUCCAAAAGGCUGAUCACAAGUCUGAAACUAAGGGUCAGCCCUUGGUUGAGAAUCUUCAUGUUUUAGCAUCAAAGCCAAGGCCAUUCCUACAGAGCUCAAAUCAAAUUCAAAAACAGUUUCUUGCAGAUCCUCUUCACAAGAAGCUGUAUGCCACUAAAAAGGAGAGUUACUGUCCAUUCAGUGUGCGAGGAAAGCUGAUGUUGCAUCAUUCUUGGGGAGAAAGAGACACAUCUGCCUAAAGGCAAUAAAAAAUCUAAAGCCA